rnacentral:rRNA from 1 species
GUCCACGCCUUAAACGAUGAAUACUAGAUGUUCGGAGAGUUAACCCUCUGAGUAUCGAAGCUAACGCAUUAAGUAUUCCGCCUGGGAAGUACGGCCGCAAGGUUGAAACUCAAAGGAAUUGACGGGGGCCCGCACAAGCGGUGGAGUAUGUGGUUUAAUUCGAAGCAACGCGCAGAACCUUACCUGGUCUUGACAUCCCUUGACGACUGCAGAGAUGUAGUUUCCUCUUCGGAGGCAAGGAGACAGGUGCUGCAUGGCUGUCGU